GAUUGUAGUUUAGGAUGAUAUAUAUUCUAGAUCCCAAGUGAGGGUGAAAAUAAAAUUAGGGAUAAGGAAAACUUUGUGGUUAAUAUAGAACAACUCUUUCUUUGGUGGAGCUCGUUUUCAUUUUUGAAACCUGAGUGAGGAUUUAUGUAAUUAUAAAAAUCCUCAGGGAAGCUCGUUGGAAUUUACCCAAAGUAGAAUUUCAAUUAAAAGACUUCAUGGUUCCAUCUGUUCAGUCAAUUAUCCAUUUGCACUCACUCAAUCUCUACCACUCAAUCCUGAGUUUGCUAUUUCUUGUGGUCUGGCUGGAUCUUCAUCUUCUCCACUCCUACAAUUUCUUCAGAUCCCGUCAAUAUGCCCAAAGAUUGGUUGAUAUAGAUCAAUCAACCAUGGAGUUAAUUCUUGAAAGCAUUAAAGUAGGACUUCAAAGUUGAAAAAAAGAGUAUGCCUAAUUUAUUCAAGUAAGCUGCCAGCCCUUAUAACUAUUUUACCCUCUUUUUGGUGUUGAUUAUAGUGUUAGAUAUGUCUCGGUUUGGCAUAUGAUUGUCUCGAUGUUUAGGUGCCAACUUCGUUGUGAUGUUUAAUUUACAAAGGGUUGUGAUGCCGUUUUCUCCAUGUUUCCUUUAGUCUUUGUAAUCCUUAUUUAAAGAUUAAUAAAAUUUCUUUGCCGUUCAAAAAAGUAGAAAAGAAAAAGA